GACGAACGCUGGCGGCGUGCCUAAUACAUGCAAGUCGAACGCAGUGGGGCCGGGUGAGUAACACGUGGGUAACCUCCCAUCAGAGGGGAUACCACUUGGCAACAGGUGCUCAACCGAUACUGCUGGAUGGACCCGCGGUGCCUUAGCUAGUUGGUGAGGUAAAGGAUGACCAAGGCCACGAUGCAUAGCCGGCCUGAGAGGAGGAGCGGUCACACUGGGACUGAGACACGGCCCAGAAUCCUACGGGAGGCAGCAGUAGGGAAUAUGCGGCAAUGGGCGAAAGUCUGACCGAGCAACGCCGCGUGAGUGAAGAAGGUUUUCGGAUCGUAAAACUCUUUUGUUAGAGAAGCGGUAUCUAACGAAAAAGCAACGGCUAACUACGUGCCAGCAGCCGCGGUAAUAC
rnacentral:rRNA from 1 species